AUCAGAAAGUCACAGUGUAAAUGAUAAAUUAUUGCAUUCAUAUAAAGUAAAACGGCCAUUUUUAGGCACAAUUUCUCCUUGGUUUCUAAUUGAAAAAUCACCAUCAGUUCAUUAGCUCUGUGGUUGUUUCUUUUCUGUCCUCAGGUUGCCACAUGCUGUCAGUAAUCCCUCAUCCUGGUGGCUAAUUGCAGCUAAUUACGUUCACCUGGCAUCCUGGUGUCAAUUAGAGGCUGGAAGCCAAACCAGCAGCACAGAAAAUAAAUGUUGUUUCUCCUCAGACCAGCCGGUCAGCGAAUACCUUAAAAAUAGCCAAUCAGUAGGAUUUCUCAUUAAGUGCAGCUCUGCAUUCAUGCAGCUUCCAAGGCGAGGCGAGGUCACAGCUGGCAGAGUUCAGUGUUUCCAUGACGACGGGUGACAUUAAGAUGGCCGCCAGAUGUUUGUGACCGGAGGCUGCUGCGGCGAUCCAACCAGCUGACCCCUGGCUCUCGGUUCAUCCGUUUUCUCUUCAGACCUGCAGAAACAUUUCAAAGCAACGCUCAGCGAACCGUCAUGUAGCGUCUGCAUGUCGUCCUUCCACUCAGUGAAACAUGAAGCUGUAGCUGAGAUUAUUUCAGCCUAUUUGAAGUGGAAAACUUUAUGGUUUAGCAUAUUCUGAUACUUAAUUACAGAGCUAAAUUCAGCCAUAAGGCACAUUCAAAACUUUUUGUCAACAUAAGAAAAAAAAAGAAAAAAUUGUAAUUGAAAAAAAUGUUUGAAACUAAAAA